rnacentral:rRNA from 1 species
GAUGAACGCUGGCGGCGUGCUUAACACAUGCAAGUCGAACGGAAAGGCCCAAGCUUGCUUGGGUACUCGAGUGGCGAACGGGUGAGUAACACGUGGGUGAUCUGCCCUGCACUUCGGGAUAAGCCGGGGAAACUGGGUCUAAUACUGGAUAGGACCACUUCUUGGAUGUUGUGGUGGAAAGUUUUUUCGGUGUGGGAUGAGCUCGCGGCCUAUCAGCUUGUUGGUGGGGUAAUGGCCUACCAAGGCGUCGACGGGUAGCCGGCCUGAGAGGGUGUACGGCCACAUUGGGACUGAGAGACGGCCCAGACUCCUACGGGAGGAAGCAGGGGGGAAUAUUGCACAAGGGGCGCAAGCCGGAUGCAGCGACGCCGCGUGGGGGAUGACGGCCUUCGGGUUGUAAACUCCUUUCGCUAGGGACGAAGCGUUUUGUGACGGUACCUGGAGAAGAAGCACCGGCUAACUACGUG